rnacentral:misc_RNA from 1 species
CUUCCUCCUACCCCUCCCGCUAAAAACACGACAGUCAUCGCAGCUGCGAAAAGCGCCCCAUACACUCGCGCACGCGCAACUGCAAGAGCACCAUUAAGGGGUGGCGACGGUGCCUGUCUGCGCCAGUCUGCUGUCACGCGCACAUCCGUAAGCACGUCUUUCUCCCUCCUUCUUACUCUGUGUGUGGGUGUGUGUCUCCGUAAGGCGUAACGCACGCACACGCCCGCCAUGGCCGCCAACUCCGAGCAGUACUGGCGCAGGCAGCUGGCGCAAACGGAGUCCGAGUACGAGCAAAUUAUUCAGGGCCUGCGUGAUGAGGUGGAGCGGCAGCAGCGCCGCUGCGGCGACCUCGUGCACGAGAAUGCGAUGCAUCGUGCCACCGUUGCCGCCGAUAUUCGCGACUUCUGUCAGCAGUACGUGGCGAACGCUAAUCAGCAGCAGCAGCAGCAGCAGCAGCAAGCGAGGUGGGGGCCGGCGGCCCAACGGAUGCUGCAGGGCGCCAAGAAGGACGUCGACAGUAUUCCGCUUCCGACCCUCUUAACCUUCCUGCACGAGUACAGCCAUGGGCUGCUUCAACUCCCCGAGAACCGUCGGAAGCGCCUCCGCCAGGACACGCAACUCAGCCCACUGCAUCACAGACUGCGCCAACGCAUGCUGGCGCAUCACCGACGGACGGGCAGAGAAGACGAGUUGAUGGAGGAAUGGUGCAGCGGGGAGUACGACGGCAGUGGCGUCACAUUGCCGAGCAUGCCGUCUUUGAGCGCAUCAUCAUCUCCAACGUGGCCGACGACGGUGCCACCGCGGUACGCGGAUCCGGAAGGAAAGCGGCAGAUGGCCCCUGCGAACGGAGAAAGCAGCCCUGACGGCGACGGGCCACCAUAUCCUCGACGCAGUGGUGGCAGCAGCGGGGCGAGGACCGCGGCGAUGGCAGCCGGUGGCGCGGCGGUGCCAACGGGAAAGGCGAGCGCCACCGCGGGUGUUGGUGUCAUCAACAGCGGAGGCGAAGGCGGUCCGGUGAUGGCCGCCUCAGCGUUCGGCCUUCCCUCACUGCCGCCUCGAUAGAGGGACUGCAGCGUUGUCGGAACACGUGUUUGGAGUUGGGAGGUGGGGUGGGUGCAUGGCGCUCUCGUCAUGGCUUGCGCCGCCCUUCCCUUUCUGCUUUCCCUCACCCUUGCGUGCAUGCACACACACAAGCAUAUAGUGUGCUUGUACCGUCGCCUGUGCCUUCGCUCUCUCACGUCCUCCUGAGAGCCUCUCGACUUUAUGUGCUC